GAUGAACGCUAGCUACAGGCUUAACACAUGCAAGUCGAGGGGUAACAAGAGGAAAGCUUGCUUUCCUUGUUGACGACCGGCGCACGGGUGAGUAACGCGUAUCCAACCUGCCUAUAACCAGGGAAUAACCUUGCGAAAGUAAGACUAAUACCCUAUGAUUUCCUUUGAUGACAUCAGAUUAGGAAUAAAGAUUUAUCGGUUAUAGAUGGGGAUGCGUCUGAUUAGCUUGUUGGCGGGGUAACGGCCCACCAAGGCAACGAUCAGUAGGGGUUCUGAGAGGAAGGUACCCCACAUUGGAACUGAGACGCGGUCCAAACUCCUACGGGAGGCAGCAGUGAGGAAUAUUGGUCAAUGGGCGGAAGCCUGAACCAGCCAAGUAGAGUGCAGGAUGACGGCCCUAUGGGUUGUAAACUGCUUUUAUACAGGAAUAAAGUUAGCCACGUGUGGUUAUUUGUAGGUACUGUAUGAAUAAGGACCGGCUAAUUCCGUGCCAGCCGCCGCCGUAA
rnacentral:rRNA from 1 species